rnacentral:rRNA from 1 species
GAUGAACGCUGGCGGCGUGCCUAAUACAUGCAAGUCGAGCGAACAGACGAGGAGCUUGCUCCUCUGACGUUAGCGGCGGACGGGUGAGUAACACGUGGAUAACCUACCUAUAAGACUGGGAUAACUUCGGGAAACCGGAGCUAAUACCAGAUAAUAUAUUGAACCGCAUGGUUCAAUAGUGAAAGACGGUUUUGCUGUCACUUAUAGAUGGAUCCGCGCCGCAUUAGCUAGUUGGUAAGGUAACAGCUUACCAAGGCAACGAUGCGUAGCCGACCUGAGAGGGUGAUCGGCCACACUGGAACUGAGACACGGUCCAGACUCCUACGGGAGGCAGCAGUAGGGAAUCUUCCGCAAUGGGCGAAAGCCUGACGGAGCAACGCCGCGUGAGUGAUGAAGGUCUUCGGAUCGUAAAACUCUGUUAUUAGGGAAGAACAAAUGUGUAAGUAACUAUGCACGUCUUGACGGUACCUAAUCAGAAAGCCACGGCUAACUACGUG